AAGCGGUGGAUGAUGUGGAUUAAUUCGAUGCAACGCGAAGAACCUUACCUACCCUUGACAUGUCCGGAACUUGCCAGAGAUGGCUUGGUGCCCGAAAGGGAAUCGGAACACAGGUGCUGCAUGGCUGUCGUCAGCUCGUGUCGUGAGAUGUUGGGUUAAGUCCCGCAACGAGCGCAACCCUUGUCUCUAGUUGCCACCAUUCAGUUGGGCACUCUAGAGAGACUGCCGGUGAUAACCGGAGGAAGUGGGGAUGACGUCAAGUCCUCAUGGCCCUUAUGGGUAGGGCUUCACACGUCAUACAAUGGUCGGUACAGAGGGUUGCCAAGCCGCGAGGCGGAGCCAAUCCCACAAAGCCGAUCGUAGUCCGGAUUGUUCUCUGCAACUCGAGAGCAUGAAGUCGGAAUCGCUAGUAAUCGCAGGUCAGCAUACUGCGGUGAAUACGUUCCCGGGUCUU
rnacentral:rRNA from 1 species